AGCUCCAGCUCUGGGUGCUCUGGGUGCUCACCAGAGUGGAAUACAAGGACAGAACCACCUCCCUUGACCUGCUGGUCACAGUUCUUCUGAUGCAGCCCAGGAUACAUGUCUGGCCACAGGGGCAGGGGAAUGCAGACGCUCCUGGGGAUUACAGGCAGAUUCUGGGUCUCAACACAAAGACAGAAAGGACCUCUUUUUGGCAGAGUUGGCAAAUGUCAUGUCACAAAGCACUGGAGCUCAGAGCAUACAUCUACAGUCACAGUUGUGCCCUGGCUCAAUCCUGGUUACCAGGGCCAGGCUCUCCCUGGAGCUAAUGCUCGAGCUCAGGCUCGAGUACAGGUGUAGUUUCAGCAUGGGGCAAACUCUCCUGUGCUCAGUCCUGCACACAAAGGAGCUACAACCCCAUCAACUGGCAGAUAUUCCAGGCUCACCUCUCCCUAAGCACGCUGCAAAAGCUCUGAUACCUAAGCUUUGGAGUACAGACUCCUGGUUUGGGAGUGUGCAGAGGAAGAUGAGGGAUUCAGUGAUUCACAGUGACAGGCAGAAAUAAAACUGGUAUUUCAGGAACAUUA